AACGUAGGUGGCGAGCGUUAUCCGGAUUUACUGGGCGUAAAGGGCUCGUAGGCGGCCAACUAAGUCGGAUGUGAAAUCCCCAAGCUUAACUUGGGAACUGCAUCCGAUACUGGAUGGCUUGAAUCCGGGAGAGGGAUGCAGAAUUCCAGGUGUAGCGGUGAAAUGCGUAGAUAUCUGGAGGAAUACCGGUGGCGAAGGCGGCAUCCUGGACCGGCAUUGACGCUGAGGAGCGAAAGCUAGGGGAGCAAACGGG
rnacentral:rRNA from 1 species